GGAUAGCGUGGCUAUUACCCCUGACAACGGUUGUUGAAAGGCGUUGAAACAGCCAUUCGGUCUCCCUUCUAUCUUUCGUCUGAACCGAGAUCAGGGAUCCAAGUUUCCUAAUGAAAGAGAUUGAUUCCGGACCGAAGACUCCAGAUGACUCCACAAUAAUCGUUCUGUGAAGCAUAUCCUGGAGAGGAGGCUGAGGCGAUCAGGUUUGUCUCUGAGAAGGUGUCGGUGCAGGCGCAGUCCCAAACAAGGCACUUCCCGCCUUUUUCCGUCUGUGCGGAUGAGACCAGGAGGCUCCAGCUGUGCCGGGAAACCAGUUGCAUGUAAAGCGUUCUUGACAAUUAGGUUCAUUGCAUGAUGUCUUGGAAACCGGCCUGCACUGCGUC